AGGAAUAUUGCUCAAUGGGAGAAAUCCUGAAGCAGCAACGCCGCGUGGAGGAUGAAGGGUCUAUGACUUGUAAACUCCUGUAAAGAAGGAAAAAAUUCACAUUUGAUGGGAGAUGAUGGUACUUCUGGAGUAAGCCCCGGCUAACUACGUGCCAGCAGCCGCGGUAAUACGUAGGGGGCAAGCGUUGUCCGGAUUUACUGGGUGUAAAGGGUGCUCAGGCGGAUUUGUAAGUCAGAGGUGAAAUCUUACAGCUUAACUGUGAAACUGCCUUUGAUACUGCAAGCCUAGAGUAUGGAAGAGAGUGAUGGAAUAUCUGGUGUAGCAGUGAAAUGCGUAGAUAUCAGAUAGAACACCAAUGGCGAAGGCAGUCACUUGGUCCCUUACUGACGCUAAAGCACGAAAGCGUGGGUAGCAAACA
rnacentral:rRNA from 1 species